GAUGAACGCUAGCGGCAGGCUUAACACAUGCAAGUCGAGGGGUAUAGGUUUUCGGACCUAGCGACCGGCGCACGGGUGCGUAACGCGUAUGCAAUCUACCUUUCACAGCGGGACAGCCCAGAGAAAUUUGGAUUAAUACCUCAUAGUAUUAUGAAGUGGCAUCAUUUUAUAAUUAAAGUUCCAACGGUGAAAGAUGAGCAUGCGUCCCAUUAGCUAGAUAGUAAGGUAACGGCUUACCAUGGCUACGAUGGGUAGGGGUCAUGAGAGGGAGAUCCCCCACACUGGUACUGAGACACGGACCAGACUCCUACGGGAGGCAGCAGUGAGGAAUAUUGGUCAAUGGACGCAAGUCUGAACCAGCCAUGCCGCGUGCAGGAUGACGGUCCUAUGGAUUGUAAACUGCUUUUGUACGAGAAGAAACACUCCUUCGUGAAGGAGCUUGACGGUAUCGUAAGAAUAAGGAUCGGCUAACUCCGUGCCAGCCGCCGCCGUAAGAC
rnacentral:rRNA from 1 species